rnacentral:rRNA from 1 species
UACGAAGGGGACUAGCGUUGUUCGGAAUUACUGGCGUAAAGCGCGCGUAGGCGGAUCGCUAAGUCAGGGGUGAAAUCCCAGGGCUCAACCCUGGAACUGCCUUUGAUACUGACGAUCUGGAGAUCGGGAGAGGUUGGUGGAAUUCCGAGUGUAGAGGUGAAAUUCGUAGAUAUUCGGAGGAACACCAGAAGCGAAGGCGGCCAACUGGCCCGAUACUG